rnacentral:rRNA from 1 species
GGAUGGACUCGCGGCCUAUCAACUUGAUGGUGGGGUAGUGGCCUACCAUGGCGUCGACGGGUAGCCGGCCUGAGAGGGUGACCGGCCACACUGGGACUGAGACACGGCCCAGACUCCUACGGGAGGCAGCAGUGGGGAAUAUUGCACAAUGGGCGGAAGCCUGAUGCAGCAACGCCGCGUGCGGGAUGACGGCCUUCGGGUUGUAAACCGCUUUUAGUGAGGAAGAAGCCGUGAGGUGACGGUACUUGCAGAAAAAGGACCGGCUAACUACGUGCCAGCAGCCGCGGUAAUACGUAGGGUCCGAGCGUUGUCCGGAAUUAUUGGGCGUAAAGAGCUCGUAGGCGGUUUGUCGCGUCUGCUGUGAAAUCUACAGGCUCAACCUGUAGCUUGCAGUGGGUACGGGCAGGCUUGAGUGGUGUAGGGGAGACUGGAAUUCCUGGUUUAGCGGUGGAAUGCGCAGAUAUCAGGAGGAACACCGAUGGCGAAGGCAGGUCUCUGGGCACUUACUGACGCUGAGGAGCGAAAGCGUGGGGAGCGAACAGGAUUAGAUACCCUGGUAGUCCAUGCUGUAAACGUUGGGCGCUAGAUGCGGGGAUCUUUCCACGAUUUCCGUGUCGUAGCUAACGCAUUAAGCGCCCCGCCUGGGGAGUACGGCCGCAAGGCUAAAACUCAAAGGAAUUGACGGGGGCCCGCACAAGCGGCGGAGCAUGCGGAUUAAUUCGAUGCAACGCGAAGAACCUUACCAAGGCUUGACAUGCACCGGAAUACCCUGGAGACAGGGGACUCUUUGAUACUGGUGUGCAGGUGGUGCAUGGUUGUCGUCAGCUCGUGUCGUGAGAUGUUGGGUUAAGUCCCGCAACGAGCGCAACCCUUGUCGCAUGUUGCCAGCACGUUAUGGGGGGACUCAUGUGAGACUGCCGGGGUCAACUCGGAGGAAGGUGGGGAUGACGUCAAAUCAUCAUGCCCCUUAUGUCUUGGGCUUCACGCAUGCUACAAUGGCCGGUACAGAGGGCUGCGAUGUUGUGAGGCGGAGCGAAUCCCUUAAAGCCGGUCUCAGUUCGGAUUGAGGUCUGCAACUCGACCUCAUGAAGUUGGAGUCGCCAGUAAUCGCAGAUCAGCAACGCUGCGGUGAAUAGGUUCCCGGGCCUUGUACACACCG